rnacentral:rRNA from 1 species
GAUGAACGCUGGCGGCGUGCCUAACACAUGCAAGUCGAGCGAACGGACGAGAAGCUUGCUUUUCUGAUGUUAGCGGCGGACGGGUGAGUAACACGUGGAUAACCUACCUAUAAGACUGGGAUAACUUCAGGAAACCGGAGCUAAUACCGGAUAAUAUUUUGAACCGCAUGGUUCAAAAGUGAAAGACGGUCUUGCUGUCACUUAUAGAUGGAUUCGCGCUGCAUUAGCUAGUUGGUAAGGUAACGGCUUACCAAGGCAACGAUGCAUAGCCGACCUGAGAGGGUGAUCGGCCACACUGGAACUGAGACACGGUCCAGACUCCUACGGGAGGCAGCAGUAGGGAAUCUUCCGCAAUGGGCGAAAGCCUGACGGAGCAACGCCGCGUGAGUGAUGAAGGUCUUCGGAUCGUAAAACUCUGUUAUUAGGGAAGAACAUAUGUGUAAGUAACUGUGCACAUCUUGACGGUACCUAAUCAGAAAGCCACGUCUAACUACGUG